GACGAACCGUGCAAGCGUUGUUCGGAAUCACUGGGCAUAAAGGGCGCGUAGGCGGCUCGUCAAGUCUGUGGUGAAAGCCCCCCGCUCAACGGGGGAAGGGCCGUGGAUACUGUCGGGCUCGAGGGAGACAGGGGCAGGUGGAACUUCCGGUGGAGCGGUGAAAUGCGUUGAGAUCGGAAGGAACUCCGGUGGCGAAAGCGGCCUGCUGGAUCUCUACUGACGCUGAGGCGCGAAAGCCAGGGGAGCAAACGGG
rnacentral:rRNA from 1 species